rnacentral:rRNA from 1 species
UACAGAGGGUGCGAGCGUUAAUCGGAAUUACUGGGCGUAAAGCGUGCGUAGACGGUUACGUAAGUCGGGUGUGAAAGCCCCGGGCUCAACCUGGGAAUUGCAUUCGAGACUGUGUAGCUAGGGUGCGGAAGAGGGAAGCGGAAUUUCCGGUGUAGCGGUGAAAUGCGUAGAUAUCGGAAGGAACAUCAGUGGCGAAAGCGGCUUCCUGGUCCAGCACCGACGUUCAGGCACGAAAGCGUGGGGAGCAAACAGG